GUUCUCACGUUAAUUCUCACGAUAGUUGAUUACACUGAUACUCUUAAUGAGUUAAAAAUAUUAUAUAAAAAUAUUAUUAUUAUUUUUAUUUAGUUUCCUUUUUAAAAUUUUCCAAAAAACAUAUACAUGCGAUAAAAAGCAAUUUUUUAUAAAGUUAAAAAAAAACAAAUUGAAAAAAAAUAUAUGUAUAUAUUAGGCCUAUUUGGCCGAAAAAACACGAAACGAAAGUUUAUUUGGAGAUCAUGCAAAAUAAAAUUCAAUUUGGUGAUCGGAUAAAGAAGGUGGUGGGAAAUGACAGCAAUAUCCCCUACGAAUAUCGAAGCUAUGCCGAUGGACUGCAGUCCUAAUAUAGGCAUAUCUAAACUAGAUACACUUGUCAGGUUCUGUCAGAGAUAAUGACAUUUUGUCUCACAUAGUUCCCGCGUAAAGAAGACUUUCGAAAAGAACAAAAAUUGUAUUUG
rnacentral:lncRNA from 1 species